ACACCACAACCUUUAAUCAGCAAUUGACUGCAGUUGCUAAAAGUCAUUAAUCAACAACUAACUGCAGUUACUAAGAGCAACUCCAACAAUUUCUUAUUUUUUGUUUCCCAUAUCUUGAUAUUUGUCAACUCCCCAAAUUAUAUGGGAAAGGAAAAACAAGACCAUCUCCAAUAGUUUCCCAUAAUUCAUUUUCUAAAAACUAAUUUUCUGGACUCACCUAAAAUUUUUCCCGCACUUUCUUUUUCUGCGCCGUCUUCGCGGUCUUUUCUUCGCACCGUCCUCGCCAGGUCGCGCCUCCAGAUCAGGACGCCGUCACCAGGUUCGAAGGUUCGACCCAUCGCCGGUGCUAAUCCCGGCAGGCCGUCCGUGCAUUGUUGUCCAGGAGCAGGUCACAACAAGCCAUCCUCUCAGGUUCGUGCAUGCUAAUCCUGGCAGGCCGUCCGUGCAUCGUUGACUAGGAGCAGGUUAUAACAAGCCAUCCUCUGAGGUUCGUGCAUGCUAAUCACAUGAGCGACUCCUAGAACUCGCGCGGGAAGAAGUGACAGCGCGCGGGAGGACAAUGUGUCGCGAACUCGCGAUGGGAGACGCGAUGCGCGGCUCUGAACGCGCGGAAAUAUGCGCUGGUUCAGAUUGUUUAUGCGACCUCUCCCAAAAUAGGAAACCCAAAUGAGAAAAUAUUGGAGACAUAUUUUUUCUAUUUUUCCUAAAAACCAAGGAUGGGAAGGAGAGAUGGGGAAUUGUUGGAGUUGCUCUAAAGGUUAGAGAUGGACGGUCGGUUGCUAAAACCCACAGCGAUGGAUGGUUCGUUGCUAUAUUUUUUUACUUUUGCGUUGAACGGUCCGUUGCUAUACAUUAGGAACAACAUCCGAUGGUCCGUGGCUAUAGAAAUUUUACAAUGGCGCGCGAUAUUUGAGCCCUUCCCGCUGCAACUUUGGCCCAAAAUGACCUAUACCCUAACUCAACCCAUGUACAAACGCAGGCUUAUCCACUCCAGCGCUCCUCAACCCCACCUCCACCUCUUCCUCUUCCUCCGCCUCCUCCUCGUCCUCCUCCCUCUCCCCUUCCCUUCGGCGGCGGCAGCGGGGCGCCAGGCGACCCCUCGGUGUGCGGCGCGGCUGCCUGGAUGGCCCAAGCGGUGGCUGGCUCUUGCACGACGUGGGAGCGGAGGCGCUCGAGAGCCUCGCUGCUGCCCCCGACCUACCGGAGCAAUCUGCUCCCGGGAUCCUCGCUCCCAAUUUUGACCCUGUGCUGGAGAAACCCUAGCUGGCACCAUCUUGUCGCCGCGACCGGAUCUAGGUGAUGCCCUCUCUCCCUUCCUCCUCCUCCUCCUCCUCCUCCUCCUCCUCCUCCUCCUCCUCCUCCUCUCUCCCCUCGUUGGUCAUUGCCAGCUCCACGUGUUAGGGGACCUGCGCCUUCUCCACUGCGCCUCCACCGACAGUGCCCCCAGCCUUCGGCGCCGCGGCACCCGUGGGCCCUGGCGGUGCCGGUGUACCCGCUGGUGUGGGUGCUCUCUGGCGUGGCCUGCUCUCGCUGGUCCAGCUAUGUUCCUGUGUUCCAAGAAACUCUGGCUUCCUGUCCAUGCCAGCAGAGCGUCAAGGGGCCUCUCCCUUCUCCCGUUCUUCGCUUCAUCUUCCUCAUGCAUUGGCAAGAGCAACGAAUUAAGGUUACCCACUUGCAGACCAUAUUUGAAUCGUCCCGUACGAGCAAACAUCAUUGAAUGAAACAUCCAAGAGCCACCCGUUCUUAGGGUAAAGGAGGUGCCUACAAGAAAUUGACUUUUUCUAGACAUCUACAACAAGCAUAGUAGCUGUCAUUCCUCACUUUGAAGUUGUUGAUCAAAGGAACUUAUGAAAGCUGAAGGUUUGCAGUCAGCAACCAAGAUCUCAGAAGGGGGUUGUUGGUUCUUCUCAGAGAUCUUCUCAAGGCGCUGCAAUAUCAUCUCAUGGACGCUAGGUGGUGAUAGCUUGUUGGAAGAAAGGGUGGAAGGGUGCUGGGAGUAAACUUGAAUGCUUUUGGACUAGGUGCUUUCUUAUGGUGAAUUAGAUGCUUUCUUUGAAUGCUUCUGGACUACAAUCUAUGUUUUAGUUUGUGGACUUGAAUCACUUUUGGUAGAUGAUGACUUAGCUAGAUUAUGUAUUCAGCUAAUCUAUGCAUGCUUGUAUAUUGGCUUGAUGGCACAUGAUUAUAUAUGUACUCAUUUGAUAUGGAUGUA